UAGAGUAUAGUGUAAUUGAGAACACAGAAGUUUUUGAAGCUUGAGAUGUAGGUUUAAAUCCUAUUAUUCUAG
rfam:Ornithorhynchus anatinus chromosome X1, whole genome shotgun sequence.